rnacentral:misc_RNA from 1 species
AAUUCAUCGGCAGCGAGGAUGACCUCGGGCCCGAACAGCGUCACCAACAUCUACGACCCUAUCGAGGUCGCUAGAGCGAAUCCGUACUUCAAGCGGAACCACAUGGGGCAGGUGACCUGCACGCUCUGCGGCAUCUACUGCCCCGAGGAGAACAACUUUCUAAAGCACAUCGCCGGCAAGACGCACGCGCUACAGCUACAGCGGCGCCAGCACAAGGAGCUGCGUCACCUUCGGCUGCAGGAAGAAGAGCGACUGAACACUGAGGCGGAAGAGCGGGCGCGUAAAGAGGAAGCGCUGCUGGCUCUGAGCGGCGGGCAGACGGGCAACGGCGCGGCAGGCGGUGCUGGCGCGCUGAGCUCUGCGGCCGCUGCUGCUGCGAAUGCCCGUUUCGGUACCCCGCUGUAUUCGUUCCGGACGGAGCACGACGAGGUGGCGUAUCGCACUAAGGUCUGGAUUGAGGUGAUGUUCACGCAGGCCGAGGAGGGCACACGCCCGCUGCAUCGCUGGCUGUCGGCGCGCGAGCAGCACGUUGAGAAGCCGGCGGAUGACUACUUCGUGUAUUUGCUGUUCGCUUGCGAGGGGUACGCCACGAUCGCGUUAAAGUUUCCUGCCAAGGCGAAUCGCUCACAGCCGCGGGACGUGCUGGAGGAGGCGGACGGGAGCACGUCGGAGGCGUACUGGUGCUCCUGGGACCCUCUCCAGAAGGUUUACACACUUUUCUUCGUACUCAGCCGUUAGCACGGCCUGUGGCGCGUAUCGGGUGCUUCGCCAAGGGCACGCGCAUACGCCCCCACUGGCCACAGUGCGGCUACCAGCCCCCUCCCCCUCCCCUGUCGGCGAAAGAUGGGGUAAUAUUGGAGUUAUGACCAAAUACGCCGGCACCUACUUUUUUCCCGUCUCAGCUUCUCGUCGAGGCACGACAGCACGAAGCCGUUUGAUAGUCCCGCGUCUACGUGUGGGGAGGGCGGGCCCCUGCCGCGGCGAUCGACUCUGGGUUGUGCUCGCUCACUACUACUAUGGACGGAUCCUACUCUCUCUUUCUCUCCAUCCCUUACCCACCCCUCUCUUUUGAUCGCCCGCUCAGCGAAGCGGACGAGGGCCCGAGAGACCCACGCACGCGCCUCUGCGGAGCGCUUCUCUGCGUCCCCUGCGCGCGCGAUGGACGGCUGCGGUUGUGAUCGCUUUCGCCUUCACGCCUGUGUGCGUCUCCGUGCGUUUGCGAAGUACCGAUGCCGGAGACGAGUCAGUGAGGAGCCGUGAGUCGGAAUCACAGGUAGGGGGCGAGGUCGGCGAGAGCCGACGCUCUCGCACGCGUGCAGCACGUGUCGCCAUACACACCCACACACACCCUCCUCCUCCUCAUGCGCCACGCCCUUGCCACUCUUUCCGGGCGCGCUUACAUG